GAUCUUAACGACAAUAGCAGUGUGUUUGGAUUUGACCACUGCGAUCGCCUCCUGGAUGCAAUGGAUGCUCAGCUUGAGCAAUUGCAGGUCCUGCCCCAGAAAUGUGAGCUUAAUUGCAGCAGUGCAGCUCCUCUUGGUUGGAGUCAGUCUCUGGGCAAAGAUACGGGCCUGGAAAGUACAAGUGAACAAAAUGGUACCC